rnacentral:rRNA from 1 species
AACUGGCAGGCUAGAGUCUUGUAGAGGGGGGUAGAAUCCCAGGUGUAGCGGUGAAAUGCGUAGAGAUCUGGAGGAAUACCGGUGGCGAAGGCGGCCCCCUGGACAAAGACUGACGCUCAGGUGCGAAAGCGUGGGGAGCAAACAGGAUUAGAUACCCUGGUAGUCCACGCCGUAAACGAUGUCGACUUGGAGGUUGUGCCCUUGAGGCGUGGCUUCCGGAGCUAACGCGUUAAGUCGACCGCCUGGGGAGUACGGCCGCAAGGUUAAAACUCAAAUGAAUUGACGGGGGCCCGCACAAGCGGUGGAGCAUGUGGUUUAAUUCGAUGCAACGCGAAGAACCUUACCUACUCUUGACAUCCAGAGAACUUAGCAGAGAUGCUUUGGUGCCUUCGGGAACUCUGAGACAGGUGCUGCAUGGCUGUCGUCAGCUCGUGUUGUGAAAUGUUGGGUUAAGUCCCGCAACGAGCGCAACCCUUAUCCUUUGUUGCCAGCGGUCCGGCCGGGAACUCAAAGGAGACUGCCAGUGAUAAACUGGAGGAAGGUGGGGAUGACGUCAAGUCAUCAUGGCCCUUGCGAGUAGGGCUACACACGUGCUACAAUGGCGCAUACAAAGAGAAGCGACCUCGCGAGAGCAAGCGGACCUCAUAAAGUGCGUCGUAGUCCGGAUUGGAGUCUGCAACUCGACUCCAUGAAGUCGGAAUCGCUAGUAAUCGUGGAUCAGAAUGCCACGGUGAAUACGUUCCCGGGCCUUGUACACACCGCCCGUCACACCAUGGGAGUGGGUUGCAAAAGAAGUAGGUAGCUUAACCUUCGGGAGGGCGCUUACCACUUUGUGAUUCAUGACUGGGGUGAAGUCGUAACAAGGUAACCA